rnacentral:rRNA from 1 species
AGUGAACGCUGGCGGUAGGCCUAACACAUGCAAGUCGAACGGCAGCACAGUAAGAGCUUGCUCUUACGGGUGGCGAGUGGCGGACGGGUGAGGAAUACAUCGGAAUCUACUUUUUCGUGGGGGAUAACGUAGGGAAACUUACGCUAAUACCGCAUACGACCUACGGGUGAAAGCAGGGGAUCUUCGGACCUUGCGCGAUUGAAUGAGCCGAUGUCGGAUUAGCUAGUUGGCGGGGUAGAGGCCCACCAAGGCGACGAUCCGUAGCUGGUCUGAGAGGAUGAUCAGCCACACUGGAACUGAGACACGGUCCAGACUCCUACGGGAGGCAGCAGUGGGGAAUAUUGGACAAUGGGCGCAAGCCUGAUCCAGCCAUACCGCGUGGGUGAAGAGGGCCUUCGGGUUGUAAAGCCCUUUUGUUGGGAAAGAAAAGCAGCAGGUUAAUACCCCGCUGUUCUGACGGUACCCAAAGAAUAAGCACCGGCUAACUUCGUG